rnacentral:lncRNA from 1 species
GGUGAUUGUUUGGUGCUGAUACAACAUUGACUUUUCCCAUAAUUUAGCUUAGAGUGUUUUACACUGGGGAGUUCCAAUGUGUUUAAAUUGUAAAACUUUUUCCGAGCAUUUUUGUAGCAGAACUCCAUGUUCUAAUAGCCCCGGCAAAGUUGUUUUUAAUACUUUUUCUCUACGAAUUUUCAUUAAAAUUUAAUUCCAUUUUAACUUUGUCAAUUUUCCCCAAAGAUAAAUUAAGACACACAGAGAGAUUGUCAUUUCCUGUUUGAAGUCUCAUUCCUGUGUACAAUGUCAGUCUUUUUUAUUUAGGCCUAUGCCAUUCCAUCAGGGUAAAUAACUUUCUAACUAGUCAUUUAAGAGCAACUCCCGGGAAACUGUGAUGCAAUCCCACAUAUCAGCCAGACUUCAAAAGCUGCCAGAUUAUUGUGAAAGGAGAAACACUGUUUUCGAAGGCUGCUGAUAAUGCCUAUUAGCCAGAAGAAAGAGCCUGAAUCAUUCAAAGGUUUUCCAUCUAGUAAAGAAGUGUGGUAAAAAUCUUGCCCAGAUCUGCAUGUGCUAAGCAUCUACGUAAGUUGGAGCAUCAUAUUAAUGACACCCAGUGAAGAAACGAAAGAAUGAAGUGUAAUUACUAUAUCAAAAAUCCACAGAAUGUGAAAGUAUAAAGGAAAACUCUCAGGGCUUCAUGGACAGUGACCUGCUGUGAGUUGGCUGACAGCUGAAAUGAUGAACAAUACUGUUUAGUUCUGCCCAUCGUGCCUGCCAGAGACUAAGAAUAACUUGACCAGUAAGGAGGGUGGAUCUUUGUUAGCUGUUCUGCAUUAUUUCUUCCAAUUUAGUAUUUAACCCCAAGAAAGAAUCAAUCGCAUGUGGGUGGCUAUUCAUUGUAAUAUUUAAAGGUAAAGUAGCACAGUGGUCAAGGGUGAAGGCUAGGAGUCAGACUUGAAUUCAAAUGCCAGCUCCACCCUUUACCACACAUGGGAACAUGGGCAAGUUACUUCACUUCUUUAACCAUCAGUUUCCUCAUUUCUAAGACAAAUCUUGUUGGAAUGACUUUUUUUCAAAAUGAAUUAAGUGUAUAGUAGAGGGCCUAUAGUUUUAUAUGGUUUAUAUAAUUACUAAAACUUUUUGUAUAUGAUUAUAAUAACUACAUACAAAAUGUCAUGGCAAAUGCAUAAAAACUGACUAUUGACUAUGCUAUCCCCCACUCCACUCCCCACCAUUCAUUCCUAAGCCCACUCCAGUCAGGCAAUCUGCCAUUCCACUGAUACUACACUUGACAAGGUCACCAAUGACAUUUACACUGCUAAAUGCAGUGGCCAGUUCUCAGUCUUCAUCAGAGUUGAGCACUCAGCAGCCUUUGGAAAAGUUAAUCUUGCAUUCCACUGCCUGCCCUUUUUUGUUUUCCUAAUCUCUAAACAUUGGAGGGCUCCAGGGCUCCAUCCUCUGGCCUCUUCUCUAUCCAUAACCCCUCCCCUGGUGACCUCAUCUAAUCUUGGAGAUUUACUAUCAUGUAGAUGCUACUGACUUCUCAAAUAUAUAUUUCCAGUUCACAUCUCUCCUGUGAGUUCCAGACUUGUUUAUCCAGAUGCCUGUUCAAUUUCUGCUUGAAUGUCUUAGGUAGUUUCUCAAACUUGGCAUGUGAAAAACUGAACACCUUGAUUUUCCUAAAAAUCUGUUUCUCUAUCAUUUAGCUGCUCAGCUAAAAACUUUGGAGUUAGACAUAUGGACAGCCCACCCCAAGGGAAGAAUCAGAGGAGAAGGGACACAAGACCCCAGAAACACACAAAGCACCUUAAUAUGCAUGCUGCAUCUCUCUAAAAUUGUGGAACCUGUUUACCUGCUCUGGAGAAUGGCUGCCUGUGGCAGACAUAGGAGUUGUCCUCAUGCUGUGCUUCCUAUCUUCCACAGUAAUUGACUUGUAGCUGCAAUACAGUUACCAACCAGGAAUACAAUUUCUCAGCCCCAUGUCUUGCACCUACAGCUAAGUGUGGCCAUGUGACCAGUUUUCACCAAUUAAGUGUGAAUAGCAACAAAGUGCACCACCUUCAAUUGGAGGCUUUGAAGAAGCAGGGCAGCCUUCCCUUGCUCUCUUUCCCCUUGUUCUGGUGGGAUACAGAUGACAAUAAGGCCCUGGGUUUUGAGGUAGCCACAAGAUGCAAAAUACCUCAGACCUGAGUCACCACAAGGAAGAGAGAAGCCCACUGACAUGGAAUACCCAGCCUAGUCUACAGAUGAAUAAGAAAUAAACUUCUAUUAUGUUCGAACAUUACAGAUUUUGUUCUGUUAUAGCAGUUUAUCUCACCCUGACUAAACUGUUGCCUAUCUUCCAAGAUAGGCCCUCCUUCCCUGAAAGUGACUUUUUCAUACAUGUAAUCUGUAUUUUAAUUCAUAUUCUCCAAAGCAUAUCCACAUCUAUUCAACUAUUUUCAUGUCUUCCAUCAAU